GAGGAAUAUUGGUCAAUGGGCGCAAGCCUGAACCAGCCAUGUCGCGUGCAGGACGACUGCCCUAUGGGUUGUAAACUGCUUUUGUAUGGGAAGAAACGACGGCACGAGUGCUGUUUUGCCGGUACCAUACGAAUAAGGAUCGGCUAACUCCGUGCCAGCAGCCGCGGUAAUACGGAGGAUCCGAGCGUUAUCCGGAUUUAUUGGGUUUAAAGGGUGCGUAGGCGGGAUAUUAAGUCAGUGGUGAAAGUUUGACGCUCAACGUUAAAAUUGCCAUUGAUACUGGUUUUCUUGAGUACAGUUGAGGUAGGCGGAAUGUGGUGUGUAGCGGUGAAAUGCAUAGAUAUACCACAGAACACCGAUUGCGAAGGCAGCUUACUAAGUUGUAACUGACGCUGAAGCACGAAAGCAUGGGGAUCAAAC
rnacentral:rRNA from 1 species